rnacentral:rRNA from 1 species
GACGAACGCUGGCGGCGUGCUUAACACAUGCAAGUCGAACGAUGAAGCCUAGCUUGCUAGGUGGAUUAGUGGCGAACGGGUGAGUAAUACGUGAGUAACCUACCUUUAACUCUGGGAUAAGCCUGGGAAACUGGGUCUAAUACCGGAUACGACCAAUCUCCGCAUGGGGUGUUGGUGGAAAGCGUUAUGUAGUGGUUAUAGAUGGGCUCACGGCCUAUCAGCUUGUUGGUGAGGUAACGGCUCACCAAGGCGACGACGGGUAGCCGGCCUGAGAGGGUGACCGGCCACACUGGGACUGAGGCACGGCCCAGACUCCUACGGGAGGCAGCAGUGGGGAAUAUUGCACAAUGGGCGCAAGCCUGAUGCAGCGACGCCGCGUGAGGGAUGACGGCCUUCGGGUUGUAAACCUCUGUUAGCAGGGAAGAAGAGAGAUUGACGGUACCUGCAGAGAAAGCGCCGGCUAACUACGUGCCAGCAGCCGCGGUAAUACGUAGGGCGCGAGCGUUGUCCGGAAUUAUUGGGCGUAAAGAGCUUGUAGGCGGUUUGUCGCGUCUGCUGUGAAAGGCCGGAGCUUAACUCCGUGUAUUGCAGUGGGUACGGGCAGACUAGAGUGCAGUAGGGGAGACUGGAAUUCCUGGUGUAGCGGUGGAAUGCGCAGAUAUCAGGAGGAACACCGAUGACGAAGGCAGGUCUCUGGGCUGUAACUGACGCUGAGAAGCGAAAGCAUGGGGAGCGAACAGGAUUAGAUACCCUGGUAGUCCAUGCCGUAAACGUUGGGCACUAGGUGUGGGGAACAUUCCACGUUUUCCGCGCCGUAGCUAACGCAUUAAGUGCCCCGCCUGGGGAGUACGGCCGCAAGGCUAAAACUCAAAGAAAUUGACGGGGCCCGCACAAGCGGCGGAGCAUGCGGAUUAAUUCGAUGCAACGCGAAGAACCUUACCAAGGCUUGACAUAUACUGGACCACAUCAGAGAUGGUGUUUCCCUUCGGGGCUGGUAUACAGGUGGUGCAUGGUUGUCGUCAGCUCGUGUCGUGAGAUGUUGGGUUAAGUCCCGCAACGAGCGCAACCCUCGUUCUAUGUUGCCAGCACGUUAUGGUGGGGACUCAUAGGAGACUGCCGGGGUCAACUCGGAGGAAGGUGGGGAUGACGUCAAAUCAUCAUGCCCCUUAUGUCUUGGGCUUCACGCAUGCUACAAUGGCCGGUACAGAGGGUUGCGAUACUGUGAGGUGGAGCUAAUCCCUAAAAGCCGGUCUCAGUUCGGAUUGGGGUCUGCAACUCGACCCCAUGAAGUCGGAGUCGCUAGUAAUCGCAGAUCAGCAACGCUGCGGUGAAUACGUUCCCGGGCCU